rnacentral:rRNA from 1 species
CUGGCGGCGCGCCUAAUACAUGCAAGUCGAACGGCUUUUCUAUGGAAGCUUGCUUCCACUGAGAAGAUAGUGGCGAACGGGUGAGUAACACGUGGGUAACCUGCCCAUAAGAGGGGGAUAACAUCCGGAAACGGGUGCUAAUACCGCAUAGUUUUCUUGAUCGCAUGAUCGGGAAAGGAAAGACGGCCUUUGUGCUGUCGCUUAUGGAUGGACCCGCGGCGUAUUAGUUAGUUGGUGGGGUAACGGCUCACCAAGACGAUGAUACGUAGCCGACCUGAGAGGGUGAUCGGCCACAUUGGGACUGAGACACGGCCCAAACUCCUACGGGAGGCAGCAGUAGGGAAUCUUCCGCAAUGGACGAAAGUCUGACGGAGCAACGCCGCGUGAGUGAAGAAAGGUUUUCGGAUCGUAAAACUCUGUUGUCAGAGAAGAACAAGUUGGAGAGUAACUGCUCCAGCCUUGACGGUAUCUGACCAGAAAGCCACGGCUAACUACGUGCCAGCCGCCGC